AAGUGGUAAUCAGAGAGAGACAGGGAACAAGCAGAGCAUGGAUUGAGUUUUUACCAAAACAUCAAAUGACUAUGUUUGGUCUCUUCCCAUGCACUGCCUCUUCCCUGGCUCCCUCCUCUUUCUAUCCC
rfam:Brassica rapa chromosome A5, whole genome shotgun sequence.